AGCGAACGCUGGCGGCAGGCUUAACACAUGCAAGUCGAACGGGCACUUCGGUGCUAGUGGCAGACGGGUGAGUAACACGUGGGAACGUACCUUUCGGUUCGGAAUAAUCCUGGGAAACUUGGACUAAUACCGGAUACGCCCUUCGGGGGAAAGAUUCAUCGCCGAUAGAUCGGCCCGCGUCUGAUUAGCUAGUUGGUGAGGUAAUGGCUCACCAAGGCGACGAUCAGUAGCUGGUCUGAGAGGAUGAUCAGCCACAUUGGGACUGAGACACGGCCCAAACUCCUACGGGAGGCAGCAGUGGGGAAUAUUGGACAAUGGGCGCAAGCCUGAUCCAGCCAUGCCGCGUGAGUGAUGAAGGCCUUAGGGUUGUAAAGCUCUUUUGUCCGGGAAGAUAAUGACUGUACCGGAAGAAUAAGCCCCGGCUAACUUCGUG
rnacentral:rRNA from 1 species